rnacentral:rRNA from 1 species
UACCGAUGAGUGCGAGCUUGGGAGACAGACGUCGGGUGCUAACGUCCGGCGUCAAGAGGGAAACAACCCAGACCGCCAGCUAAGGUCCCAAAGAUUGGCUAAGUGGAAAACGAAGUGGGAAGGCUAAAACAGUCAGGAUGUUGGCUUAGAAGCAGCCAUCAUUUAAAGAAAGCGUAAUAGCUCACUGAUCGAGUCGUCCUGCGCGGAAGAUGUAACGGGGCUAAGCCAGUCACCGAAGCUGCGGAUAUAUUUCUCGUGAUUUAUCACUUGAUCUAUAUGGUAGGAGAGCGUUCCGUAAGCCUGCGAAGGUGUCUUGUAAAGGAUGCUGGAGGUAUCGGAAGUGCGAAUGCUGACAUGAGUAGCGAUAAUGGGGGUGAAAAGCCCCCACGCCGUAAGCCCAAGGUUUCCUGUUCAACGUUCAUCGGAGCAGGGUGAGUCGGCCCCUAAGGCGAGGCAGAGAUGCGUAGCUGAUGGGAAGCAGGUUAAUAUUCCUGCACCGUCGUAUGAUGCGAUGGGGGGACGGAUCGCGGAAGGUUGUCUGACUGUUGGAAUAGUCAGUUUCUGGUUCAUAGAAGGCGCUUAGGCAAAUCCGGGCGCGUAAUUCAAGGGACUGGGACGAGCUGCCUUGUGCGGCGAAGCAAUCGGAAGUGGUUCCAAGAAAAGCCUCUAAGCUUCAGUCAUACGAGACCGUACCGCAAACCGACACAGGUGGGCGAGAUGAGUAUUCUAAGGCGCUUGAGAGAACUCGGGAGAAGGAACUCGGCAAAUUGGUACCGUAACUUCGGGAAAAGGUACGCCCCUAGUAGCUUGGCUGAUUUACUUCAGUAGGGCGAAAGGGUUGCAAUAAACUGGUGGCUGCGACUGUUUAAUAAAAACACAGCACUCUGCAAACACGAAAGUGGACGUAUAGGGUGUGACGCCUGCCCGGUGCUGGAAGAUUAAAUGAUGGGGUGCAAGCUCUUGAUUGAAGUCCCAGUAAACGGCGGCCGUAACUAUAACGGUCCUAAGGUAGCGAAAUUCCUUGUCGGGUAAGUUCCGACCUGCACGAAUGGCGUAACGAUGGCCACACUGUCUCCUCCCGAGACUCAGCGAAGUUGAAGUGUUUGUGAUGAUGCAAUCUACCCGCGGCUAGACGGAAAGACCCCAUGAACCUUUACUGUAGCUUUGCAUUGGACUUUGAACCAAUCUGUGUAGGAUAGGUGGGAGGCUUUGAAGCGGGGACGCCAGUUCUCGUGGAGCCAUCCUUGAAAUACCACCCUGGUUUGUUUGAGGUUCUAACCUUGGUCCGUUAUCCGGAUCGGGGACAGUGCAUGGUAGGCAGUUUGACUGGGGCGGUCUCCUCCUAAAGUGUAACGGAGGAGUUCGAAGGUACGCUAGGUACGGUCGGACAUCGUGCUAAUAGUGCAAUGGCAUAAGCGUGCUUAACUGCGAGACUGACAAGUCGAGCAGGUACGAAAGUAGGACAUAGUGAUCCGGUGGUUCUGUAUGGAAGGGCCAUCGCUCAACGGAUAAAAGGUACUCUGGGGAUAACAGGCUGAUUCCUCCCAAGAGUUCAUAUCGACGGGGGAGUUUGGCACCUCGAUGUCGGCUCAUCACAUCCUGGGGCUGUAGCCGGUCCCAAGGGUAUGGCUGUUCGCCAUUUAAAGUGGUACGUGAGCUGGGUUUAAAACGUCGUGAGACAGUUUGGUCCCUAUCUGCCGUGGGCGUUGGAAAUUUGAAGGGGGCUGCUCCUAGUACGAGAGGACCGGAGUGGACGAACCUCUGGUGUACCGGUUGUCACGCCAGUGGCAUUGCCGGGUAGCUAAGUUCGGAAGAGAUAACCGCUGAAAGCAUCUAAGCGGGAAACUUGCCUUGAGAUGAGAUUUCCCGGAGCUUUAAGCUCCUUGAAGGGUCGUUCGAGACCAGGACGUUGAUAGGUCAGGUGUGGAAGUGCAGUAAUGCAUUAAGCUAACUGAUACUAAUUGCCCGUACGGCUUGUCCCUAUAACCUUAGCAGGU